GGAUGUGAGGGCGAUCUGGCUGCGACAUCUGUCACCCCAUUGAUCGCCAGGGUUGAUUUGGCUGAUCUGGUUGGCUAGGCGGGUGUCCCUCUCCUCCCUCACCGAUCCAUGUGCUUCCCUCCUGAAGCUGAGCGCUAGGUCGAAGAGGACGACCACCCCCGCCCCCCCGCAAGGAGAGGACCGGUCUUCGGUCAAGGGUAUACGAGUAGCUGCGCUCCCCUGCUAGAACCUCCAAACAAGCUCUCAAGAUGAGACUAGCUGUAUCUUCUGCUUCAGGGCUGUUCCU
rnacentral:snRNA from 1 species